rnacentral:rRNA from 1 species
UAGGGAAUCUUCGGCAAUGGGGGCAACCCUGACCGAGCAACGCCGCGUGAGUGAAGAAGGUUUUCGGAUCGUAAAGCUCUGUUGUAAGAGAAGAACGUGUGUGAGAGUGGAAAGUUCACACAGUGACGGUAACUUACCAGAAAGGGACGGCUAACUACGUGCCAGCAGCCGCGGUAAUACGUAGGUGCCGAGCGUUGUCCGGAUUUAUUGGGCGUAAAGCGAGCGCAGGCGGUUUAAUAAGUCUGAAGUUAAAGGCAGUGGCUUAACCAUUGUUCGCUUUGGAAACUGUUAAACUUGAGUGAAGAAGGAGAGAGUGGAAUUCCAUGUAUAGCGGUGAAAUGCGUAGAUAUAUGGAGGAACACCGGUGGCGAAAGCGGCGCUCUGGUCUGUAACUGACGCUGAGGCUCGAAAGCGUGGGGAGCAAACAGG